rnacentral:lncRNA from 1 species
ACAAGACAUAAAAAAGGAUUCAGAUUAAAAGGCUAGAACAAUUUAGGACAAUCGCAGUAAAUGAGGUCCAUCCUAGGCAAUCUGAGGCAGAUGGUUUUCUUACUUACAAACCAGGAGCUUGCACUCUCUUGCCUUUCUGCCUUGCACCAUGGGAGGACACAGCAAGAAGCUCUCACCGGAUGCUAGACCCUCAACCUUGGACUUCUCAGCCUCCAGAACCACGAGAAAUAAAUUUCUGUUUAUUGUAAAUUGCCCAGUCUCAAAUAUUAUGUGACAGCUGCACUAAACAGACUAAGAUGCUCCCUUAACAUAAACCACAGGGUUCCUAUGGAAAACAGGCAACAUGGAAUGUUUCAGGCAUUGUAAUCAUUGAAGGAAAGGAGAAACAAAAGGAGAGAUUGUGCUGAAGUGAACAGAGCACAGACUGUGACGGGAAUCUCACAAUCUUACCAACUUUGAGAUCAGCAUGAAAUGUAAAUGGAACACCAAGAAACAGCAUACUUCAUGGCCAUGUUAUAACUAAUGAAUUACUUGGGGUUUGAUGACUGGCUUACAGAGAAGAAUAAGGAAAUGUACCUCUAAGAAUCGUUUGAAAUGAGUCUUCAUAUCCUCCCAAAUAUUUUUCAAGAACGUUUGGCAUUACUUCAAAAAUUAACUUUAGGAAAGGAACUAUUAUCACAUUUUAAGAGGGGAAUUGCAGUUGCACUUAAACUAGAAACUUCCACUUGGUGAAUUGAAUUAUUAAGGAAUAAUGGCAGAAGAAAGAAAAUCAAACCAGGAAUAUUUUUCAGACACAAAUAAUACUGGCUCAGCUCCGAUUCAGUAGGCUCACAUCAUUUAAACUAACGAUUACCUUGACACCACCAGAAGAAAAAUAGGAAAGUAAGAAGUGCCUUAGAAGUAUGAUAUUAUCAUUUAUUGCAAAGGAUACAAUAGUUAAGGUGGGUAUUAGCAUAUUAUUUAUUUAUUCAUUAUUUUAUUUUUAUCUAAAA